rnacentral:lncRNA from 1 species
GUUGGAUUACAUCUCUGCAGGAAAGUGGCCUGGAAGGGCCAAGUUUGCCCAUCACUGGUCUAGCAGGUCCUCUGACCAUGACCAUUCAAGCACCAGGAAUAAGUGAUUUGAGUUUAAGUUUGAACCCAUAUAUGCUGUAUUAGAUCACAGAUUUUGCAGUCAUGUAUGAAAAAUAGCAUGCAUGAAUAUUUUUCAAAAAUUCCUCUUUCAUGCUUCAUGGCCAAAAAUAUCCAGAGUUGGGAAUGACAUGAGGCCUCAGGCAAACCUAACAGGGGAUCUUGGAGCAGCAGUGGGCCCCAGAAAUGCGCCUAUGCAAUUCCACUGUUGCGUGGACACACCCUGCCAGCAAUCGACCUUUGCCCCACUGCCUUCUGGGUAAUUCUAAGAAUACAAAAGCUAUGGGAGCACACACACAUACUGAAAAAAAAAAAAAACACAUUUUGGUGAUCCAGCAG